ACGGGUGAGUAACACGUAUGAAACCUGCCCGUAGCAGGGGGAUAAGCGGAAGAGAUUCCGUCUAAUACCGCGUAACAACCCAUGGAGGCAUCUCUGUGGGUUUAAAGGAAGCGAUUCCGGCUACGGAUGGUCAUGCGUCGCAUUAGCUUGUUGGCGGGGUAACGGCCCACCAAGGCGACGAUGCGUAGGGGUUCUGAGAGGAAGGUCCCCCACACUGGUACUGAGACACGGACCAGACUCCUACGGAAGGCAGCAG
rnacentral:rRNA from 1 species